rnacentral:rRNA from 1 species
UACGUAGGGUCCGAGCGUUGUCCGGAGUUACUGGGCGUAAAGGGCGCGCAGGCGGCGGUGCUGGCCCGGCGUGAAAGCCCCCGGCUCAACCGGGGAGGGUCGUCGGGGACCGCCCCGCUUGAGGGCGGUAGGGGCCGGUGGAAUGCCUGGUGUAGUGGUGAAAUGCGUAGAGAUCAGGCAGAACACCUGGGGCGAAGGCGGCCGGCUGGGCCGUCCCUGACGCUGAGGCGCGAAGGCGUGGGGAGCGAACGGG